rnacentral:rRNA from 1 species
GUCAUAUGCUUGUCUCAAAGAUUAAGCCAUGCAUGUCUCAGUACAAGCCAAAUUAAGGUGAAACCGCGAAAGGCUCAUUAAAUCAGUUAUGGUUCCUUAGAUCGUACCCACAAUUACUUGGAUAACUGUGGUAAUUCUAGAGCUAAUACAUGCAAACAGAGCUCCGACCGGAGACGGAAGGAGUGCUUUUAUUAGAUCAAAACCAAUCGGUGGCGGGUUCGCGCUCGUUAUCGUACAACUUGGUGACUCUGAAUAACUUUACGCUGAUCGCACGGUCAUCGCACCGGCGACGCAUCUUUCAAAUGUCUGCCUUAUCAACUGUCGAUGGUAGGUUCUGCGCCUACCAUGGUUGUAACGGGUAACGGGGAAUCAGGGUUCGAUUCCGGAGAGGGAGCCUGAGAAACGGCUACCACAUCCAAGGAAGGCAGCAGGCGCGCAAAUUACCCACUCCCGGCACGGGGAGGUAGUGACGAAAAAUAACGAUACGGGACUCAUCCGAGGCCCCGUAAUCGGAAUGAGUACACUCUAAACCCUUUAACGAGGAUCAAUUGGAGGGCAAGUCUGGUGCCAGCAGCCGCGGUAAUUCCAGCUCCAAUAGCGUAUAUUAAAGU